GACGGAAGGUGCAAGCGUUGCUCGGAAUCACUGGGCGUAAAGGGUGCGUAGGCGGCUGUGCAAGUCUGGCGUGAAAGCCCCGGGCUCAGCCCGGGAAGUGCGCUCGAAACUGCGCAGCUCGAGUGCCGGAGGGGAGAGUGGAAUUCCUGGUGUAGCGGUGAAAUGCGUAGAUAUCAGGAGGAAUACCGGUGGCGAAGGCGGGUUGCUGGGCUGACACUGACGCUGAGGCGCGAAAGCUAGGGGAGCGAACGGG
rnacentral:rRNA from 1 species